AAGCACCAGCAGUAGUGCUGCACCCUCUGCUACAGCCGCUAGCGCUACUGCGGUGCUGGCGGGCACGAAAUCUCUGCAGCAGGCAUGAGGACACCCGCGGUGGUGAGAACUGCACUUCUGCCAGCACACCAAGAGGCACAGCGUGUGACAGCAGCCAGGGUCUGAAGAGGGAGGCUGCUCCCAUCCAGAUUAGAGCCUCCGGAGCAACCCUCUCUGGUAGGCGAGCCUGGGGUGGGGGAUGCCAGCUCCAGCCUGCCUGUGCCAUCCUGAGCUGCCCCUCUCCUCGGGGCUCUCAGCGGGGUGGGCGCCGCAGCCACGCUGCUGGUCUGCAGAGCCCUGGGGUGGAUGCCCCAGGGGAGGGUGCCAGCACCAGGCUCCGUGCCAGAGGAAGAGAAUCUAGGUCACAGAUCCUCGUUGGGAACAAGUACAUCCGAUGCUGCCAAGGGAAACAAACCGGCUUGAAAGAAACAGGAGAAAGGGGAGCAAAGUGGCUUGAAAUCGACAGGAGAGUGGGGAGAAAUAACUCCAUGAUCAAAACAAGGAUACUACAGGAAAGGUAAUAUCAUAUUGAAAUGGGGCAAGAUACCAGAUGACUACUGAUUGUCUGAUAACAGAGUGGCUCAGUGCUCACUGCAAUUGCAGGAAGAAAACGUGUCUAUGGGUGGGUGUAAAUACCCUUAGCACUAUCACAGUACUAUUACGUGCAGGAAUCCUUGUCUGCCCCAGCAGUCUUAAGCCAUUUUGGAACCGCUGUCACCAAAGGUAAAUAAUUUCAAGAAGGACACCUGCUUCUUUCCUGUGUUCCUGUUCUGUCUUCUCAAGGAUGGUAGCAGAGCGAUCAGUCUUCGAAGCCAAACCCAAGCUGAAAUUCAGCCUUUGGCUUUCAUGAAGAGGCGUGUGUUAAAAGAAGAAGCUGAGGAAACAAGUCUUGGUAACACUGAUAUUGUGCCUAAGAUGGUCCGUGCACUUUCACAUGAGAAGCCCUGGUGGAAACCGGUAGCUCUGGCAAAGGAAUCUCUAUUCAAUGCUUACAUCAGCUUUGUGUGAGCACGGGUGAGAAAAUGGUUGCUGUAAAACCUGAGACUUGUAUUAACAGCUCCAAUUAAUAAAAUUGUGUCAACUGUUCAGCUGUAGGCUGAAAAAAUCUCUCAGGAGAAAAAAAGAAAAAAGAAUCCACUAUUUUUCUUUUAAAGGAAAUACAAACAAUGAUAUUUGUUUCCCCAGCCUAUGUAUCUAAAGCAAAGAAACCCAAAGCAAUUUAUUUCAAAUUACAAUAAAGCAUUGCAAGAAAAAGUACUUGUCUAAAAUAGUAGGAGUAACAACAAUACCCAGAGAGAUAAAAGAGAGUUUAUUAUUCUGUGGGAGGCAAAACAUUUCACAGGCCACAGUGAAGAGAAGGUCCUUUAUCAGAAAACCUCAGACAAUAUGAACAUUAGACAAAUUGCAACAUGCCAAUAUGCAACAAAGUGAAACACCAUAAAAAGGCUUCAUAAGCUAAACUUCAAAUUAAACAGAAAAUAUCAGAGCAAAUAAAGAUUAUCCACUUUAGCGGCCUGUUGAAUAUCUUAACCUGAGAGAAGGGCCUGGUGGCAGAUUAACUGCCUUUCCCAGGCGCGGGCAGCUGUGAUGCCAAAUAUAACUCAUUUUUCUGUGGCAUCAUAUGAACGAAUGUGUAAAUACAGGCAUGGCAAAGGCAUCAAUGAAUUACUUUUAUUUUAGUGCAUUUUGCAGAUUAAGUUGCAAACCAAAUGUGUAGCUGGGCUUUAUAAAUAGUCCCGUGACUACAGUUUGAGUGAUGUAAGGCUAGCCCAUUUGCGGGAUGAGCUCUAUACAAAGUAGGGUUUAUCCGCCUUUCCCAGCUAUAUUAUAACAAAUGUUACCUGUAUGAAUAAACUUUGUCUUGCCUUAAAAGAAACCUAUACUGUAUGUUGCAAAAAAGGCUUCAACCAAGGUUGUUAACCCUCUGGCAUCAGAAAUCUGCAAUGUGUCUGUCUGGUACUUACAGUACACAGUACACACAGAGUAAGACCAGUUGUUGAAA